CUUUCUGGGCUGCUGUAGAACAUGGUGGGGCAACAUGGAAGACUCAAAGGAAGAGGAGCUGCUCCUGAUGUAGAUAUAAAUGGCUCAUUCUAAGUUCAACCACAGGUCUGUGUGAGGUCAUUAAAGCAGCUGAAAAUUCGGCCUGAAGGCUCCUGGGCGGUGCAUCUCCACAGUCACUGCGGUUUUUCAGGAUCCUCUGGAUCUCUUUGUGCACAGUGAGGGUCUUCUUCUCCUCCUCGGUCAGGAGGCACACACAGGUGCGGUAGCACCAC